rnacentral:rRNA from 1 species
GUGGGGAAUCUUGCGCAAUGGGCGAAAGCCUGACGCAGCCAUGCCGCGUGAAUGAUGAAGGUCUUAGGAUUGUAAAAUUCUUUCACCGGGGACGAUAAUGACGGUACCCGGAGAAGAAGCUCCGGCUAACUUCGUGCCAGCAGCCGCGGUAAUACGAAGGGGGCUAGCGUUGCUCGGAAUUACUGGGCGUAAAGGGCGCGUAGGCGGACAGCUUAGUCAGGGGUGAAAGCCCAGGGCUCAACCUUGGAAUUGCCUUUGAUACUGGCUGUCUUGAGUUUGGGGGAGGUGAGUGGAACUCCGGGUGUAGAGGUGAAAUUCGUAGAUAUUCGGAAGAACACCAGUGGCGAAGGCGACUCACUGGCCCAAUACUGACGCUGAGGCGCGAAAGCGUGGGGAGCAAACAGGAUUAGAAACCCUAGUAGUCC